rnacentral:pre_miRNA from 1 species
GCGUGCGUCGUGAGGCCUUGGCUCAGGGAUAUCCGGCGUGAGAAGCCGUGGGUGUGCCAGCCGGGAGCUAACGGCUCGCAGAU